GGGUCUAUAGCUUAAUUGGUAAAGCAGUAAACUUUUAAUUUAUUGAUUUUAGGUUCGAGUCCUAAUAUACCCA
rnacentral:tRNA from 1 species